AUCCUUGGUAAGUGAUUGCUGAUAUUGCGAGAUACUAUUCCUACAUAGAAAUUGUAUAGAAUUUUUUGUUUACAGAUACUAUUAUGCCUUUGACAAAGGUGUCACGCAGUGUUCUUCAGUAGAACACUGCUACUCGUUCGUUACGAAGCAAUCACAGGUUCUCCAACAUCCAUGGGGCUCAACAUUAAACAAUUUGUACACUUCGCUGAAAAACUAUGGAAACACUUUUGUCGCUACUUCAAUAUCUGAACUUUACGAUGUGACUCACUGGAAAACAUCUUCUUGGUUUUUUCCCUCCUGAGAGGGUUUUUCCCAUGGGAUCGUAAUUUCGGUCCCUAAAUACAUGGAAACACUCUGACAAUAUAUGAAAACGUCUUCUCGGUUUUUCCCUCCUACUGUUAUAUGAGAGGGUUUUUCCCGUGGGAUCAGCAACUAUUGUGAUUUAGAUCCCUAAAUAAUGGAACACUUUUUUCACUCAAUAUCUGAACUAAAUAAACUGGCAACAUCAUGCAAACGUCUUCUCAGUUUUAAUUUAUCGCAAUUUGAUGUUUUGUAUCAGGUACAUGCCAUUAAUUUAAUUUUAGACUUGAACUUUUGGCAUCAAUCGUUUUUAACAACA